UACGGGGGGGGCAAGCGUUGUUCGGAAUUACUGGGCGUAAAGGGUUCGUAGGUGGCCAACUAAGUCAGACGUGAAAUCCCUCAGCUUAACUGGGGAACUGCGUCUGAGACUGGAUGGCUUGAGUGCAGGAGAGGAACGCGGAAUUCCAGGUGUAGCGGUGAAAUGCGUAGAUAUCUGGAGGAACACCGGUGGCGAAGGCGGCAUCCUGGACCAAUAUUGACGCUGAGGAGCGAAAGCCAGGGGAGCAAACGGG
rnacentral:rRNA from 1 species